rnacentral:misc_RNA from 1 species
AACAGUCAAAGGGACCAUGGAUGCAAAGGUUUUGUUGGAGAAUCUGAAGGAGAGAUUGAAUGGUCCUGUUGAGAUCUUGUCGGUUAACAAAGAGAAAUACAGCAAUGGCAGUGAUAAAGAAAGCNNNNNNNNNNNNAAAAAGAAGAAGAAAGAAAGUGCACAAGAGAAUGGGAGUGAUGAUACUGAAAUGGAAGGGAGCAUAAUGGAGUUGAAACCAGUAAAAGUUCCAGCAAUAAUGGCAGUUUUUAAGGUGCCUCUCCACUGUGAUGGAUGCAUCAGGAGGAUUCGCAAAAUUAUCGGUAGAAUCAGAGGAGUACAGGAGGUGACAAUUAACAAGGAGGAGGAAACUGUAACUGUCAAGGCAACCACUGAUGUGAAUACAUUAACUGAGACCAUGAAGAAAAGAUUGAAGAAACUUGUAGAGGAGAGGAAGAUAGAGAUACAAAAG